AUACUUACCUGGCAGGGGAGAUACCAUGAUCAUGAAGGUGGUUUUCCCAGGGCGAGGCUUAUCCAUUGCACUGCGGAUGUGCUGACCCCUGCGAUUUCCCCAAAUGUGGGAAACUCGACUGCGUAAUUUGUGGUAGUGGGGGACUGCGUUCGCGCUUUCCCCUG
rnacentral:snRNA from 1 species